rnacentral:lncRNA from 1 species
GAUUGGGGCAUCCUUAUACUAGUCUAUGGACAUAUUCUUGUUUAAAUUUCGGAAGGUUUUCCAAUUGCAGAAUGGAUUUUAACUAUUCUACUUUGAUUACUGGUAUUGAAGGAUAGUAUGAUAUAGCUGACUUGAACAUAGAUUUAAGGUGGCUCGGCCCUUUAACAGUGCGCAUAUUAUAACGCAUGUUUCGUACGAGUGCCUUGGAAACGGUCGCUUUUAGGGGUUUUCUCAAAAAAAACUUUGAAGGCAUUAUAACACGGGCGUGUAUGAGAGCACCCUUUAUGAUGUAAACAAGCAAUGCAAAACAUUCUACAAAACGGGAAAUACGUACAGUAAGAAAUUCAGAGUGCUUUCUUCAUUUUUUACAUAAAAGUUUAAAAGGACAGAAAUAUACAUGAUUUGAGCAUAAAAAGAAAAUAUAAAUACUGACAAGUUCGACGUCCACGGUAUCUGGGGCAUUCGCUCCCAAAAACACAUUCUCAUCAUACACCUUCACCCCUUUCAUUUAAAUACCGGUUGAAUUAAACGAUCUUAAAUCAUGUCUUUAAGAUUAAUAUAUGAAAAUGUUUUGCCAAAGAAGCAAUGUUUAACUGUAAACAAAGGAUAGCGAUUUAAACAAUUGCAUGUCAGUGUACGGCUUUGAAAACCUGUAUAGUAUGCUUUAAAGGCACCAGGGUUUAUUUUCAAGCUAUCCGUUUGACGUUUUAUAACAUUUUUUACUGUCAAAAAUCUCUUUUUUACUUGAAAUUGUUAAUUUCAAAGUU